rnacentral:rRNA from 1 species
AGCAGCCGCGGUAAUUCCAGCUCCAAUAGCGUAUAUUAAAGUUGUUGCAGUUAAAAAGCUCGUAGUUGAAUUUCGGGAUCAGUACGCUGGUCGUGCCUCCGGUAUGUACUGGUGUCACUGGUUCCUCCUUUCUGAAGAACCAUCAUGCCAUUCACUUGGUGUGGUGGGAAAUCAGGACUGUUACUUUGAAAAAAUUAGAGUGUUUAAAGCAGGCACGCGCUUGAAUACAUUAGCAUGGAAUAACGAAAUAGGACGUUCGAUCUUAUUUUGUUGGUUUCUAGGAUUGACGUAAUGAUUAAUAGGGAUAGUUGGGGGCAUUAGUAUUCAAUUGUCAGAGGUGAAAUUCUUGGAUUUAUUGAAGACUAACUACUGCGAAAGCAUUUGCCAAGGAUGUUUUCAUUAAUCAAGAACGAAAGUUAGGGGAUCGAAGACGAUCAGAUACCGUCGUAGUCUUAACCAUAAACUAUGCCGACUAGGGAUCGGAUGAUGUUAAUUUUAUAAUGACUCAUUC